rnacentral:rRNA from 1 species
GACGAACGCUGGCGGCGUGCCUAAUACAUGCAAGUAGAACGCUGAAGGAGGAGCUUGCUCUUCUGGAUGAGUUGCGAACGGGUGAGUAACGCGUAGGUAACCUGCCUGGUAGCGGGGGAUAACUAUUGGAAACGAUAGCUAAUACCGCAUAAGAGUAGAUGUCGCAUGACAUUUACUUAAAAGGUGCAAUUGCAUCACUACCAGAUGGACCUGCGUUGUAUUAGCUAGUUGGUGGGGUAACGGCUUACCAAGGCGACGAUACAUAGCCGACCUGAGAGGGUGAUCGGCCACACUGGGACUGAGACACGGCCCAGACUCCUACGGGAGGCAGCAGUAGGGAAUCUUCGGCAAUGGACGGAAGUCUGACCGAGCAACGCCGCGUGAGUGAAGAAGGUUUUCGGAUCGUAAAGCUCUGUUGUAAGAGAAGAACGAGUGUGAGAGUGGAAAGUUCACACUGUGACGGUAUCUUACCAGAAAGGGACGGCUAACUACGUG